rnacentral:rRNA from 1 species
GCAAGAUACCACGGGCGCACGGCGGAUGCCUUGGCACAGGGAGCCGAUGAAGGACGCGGCAAGCUGCGAUAAUCCCCGGCGAGGAGCACACAUCCUUCGACCCGGGGGUCUCCGAAUGGGCGAACCCAUCCACAGCAGUGUGGAUAUCCCCACCCCGAACACAUAGGGGUGGGGAGGACAACCCGGGGAACUGAAACAUCUAAGUACCCGGAGGAGAGGAAAUCAAUCUCGAGACUCCCCGAGUAGCGGCGAGCGAAAGGGGACCGAUGGCCAAACCGUCGAGCGGGCAUACCCGGCAGGGGUUCCGCCGACGGGGUUGCAGGGCCGCGCAUCCGGGGGCUGCCGCCCCCGGGCGCAGGUCCGGCUGGGGAGCGGAACGGCAUGGGAGGGCCGGCCGCAGCGGGUGACAGCCCCGUACGCGAACCCAGACCGGACGGCGCGACGCGGUCCCUGAGUAGGGCCGGGCACGUGAAACCCGGUCCGAACCUGGGUGGACCACCAUCCAAGCCUGAGUACUACCCUGUGACCGAUAGCGCACCAGUACCGUGAGGGAAAGGUGAAAAGCACCCCGGGAGGGGAGUGAAACAGUACCUGAAACCGUGCGCCCACGAGCAGUCGGAGCACCUAUAUGGUGUGACGGCGUGCCUUUUGUAGAAUGAGCCAGCGAGUCGCUGGCGCGGGGCGAGGUUAACCGAAAGGGAGCCGGAGCGAAAGCGAGCCUUAACAGGGCGACUUGAGUCCCGCGCCGCGGACGCGAAGCCGGGUGAGCUAUCCGUGGGCAGGCUGAAGCGGGGGUAAGACCCCGUGGAGGGCCGAACGCACGUCGGUUGAAAACGGCGGCGAUGACCUGCGGAUAGGGGUGAAAGGCCAAUCAAACCCGGAGAUAUCUCGUUCUCCCCGAAAUAGCUUUAGGGCUAGCGUCGCGCGUUCACCGCCGGAGGUAGAGCACCGGAUGGACGAGGGGGCUUCGCCGCCUACCGAAUCCAACCGAACUCCGAAUGCCGGCGGCCCAGAGCGCGGCAGUCAGAGCAUGUGGGCUAAGCUGUGUGCUCGAGAGGGAAACAGCCCGGACCGCCCGCUAAGGUCCCCAAGUUCCAGCCGAGUGGCAAAGGAUGUGCGUCCGCCCAGACAACCAGGAUGUUGGCUUAGAAGCAGCCAUGCAUUCAAAGAGUGCGUAACAGCUCACUGGUCGAGUGGACAUGCGCCGACAAUACACGGGGCUAAGCUGGACACCGAAGCGGCGGGAUUUUACCUAAGUAGAAUCGGUAGGGGAGCUUCCCAUGGGCGGUGAAGCCGCCGGGCGACCGGCGGUGGAGCGCAUGGGAGUGAGAAUGCUGGCAUGAGUAGCGAGAGACGAGAGAGUAACUCGUCCGCCGUGAACCCGAGGUUUCCUGGGCAAGGCUAAUCCUCCCAGGGUCAGUCGGGGGCUAAGGCGAGGCCGGGAGGCGUAGCCGACGCGCAGCAGGCAGACAUUCCUGCACCGCGCACGCGGCGCUACGACCGACGGGGCGACGGAUGGGGGUGGCUCGGCGGGGUUCUGGACGUCCCCGUGAUGGAGCGCGGCCCGCGGACCAGGGAAAUCCGGUCCGCAUACAGGGCGAGGCUCCGGACGAAGCGAUUGAGCGAAGCGAGUGAGCCCGAGGUCCCUAGAAAAACCCCUAGGCAGGCGCGUGCGCGCCCGUACCGCAAACCGACACAGGUGGGUGGGUAGAACAUACCGAGGCGAUCGGGUCAACCAUGGUCAAGGAACUCGGCACAAUGGCCCCGUAACUUCGGGAGAAGGGGUGCCCGCGCGUACGUGAACGGACUUGCUCCGGGAGCGGAGGCGGGCCGCAGUGGAGAGGCCCAAGCGACUGUUUACCAAAAACACAGGACUCUGCAGAAGCCGCAAGGCGACGUAUAGGGUCUGACGCCUGCCCGGUGCCGGAAGGUCACGCGGAGGAGUUAGCCGCAAGGCGAAGCCCCGAAGCCAAGCCCCGGUAAACGGCGGCCGUAACUAUAACGGUCCUAAGGUAGCGAAAUUCCUUGUCGGGUAAGUUCCGACCUGCACGAAAGGCGCAACGACUUGGGCGCUGUCUCGACCAUGGACCCGGUGAAAUUGCACUGGUCGUGAAGAUGCGACUUACCCGCGGAAGGACGGAAAGACCCCGUGAACCUUCACUGCAGCUUGGCAUUGGCCGCUGGUCCCGCGUGUAGAGGAUAGGCAGGAGGCACAGAUCCGGAGGCGCCAGCCCCCGGGGAGCCGCCCUUGGAAUACUGCCCUCGCGCGACCGGCGUCCUAACCCGAGGCCGUCAACCGGCUCGGGGACCGUGCCAGGCGGGCAGUUUGACUGGGGCGGUCGCCUCCUAAAGGGUAACGGAGGCGCGCGAAGGUCCGCUCGGGACGGUCGGCAACCGUCCUUUUGAAUGCAAGAGUACAAGCGGGCUUGACUGCGAGGCCCACAAGCCGAGCAGGUGCGAAAGCAGGCUCUAGUGAUCCGGCGGCCCCGAGUGGGUGGGCCGUCGCUCAACGGAUAAAAGGUACUCCGGGGAUAACAGGCUGAUCUUGCCCAAGAGUCCACAUCGACGGCAAGGUUUGGCACCUCGAUGUCGGCUCAUCGCAUCCUGGGGCUGGAGCAGGUCCCAAGGGUACGGCUGUUCGCCGUUUAAAGCGGUACGCGAGCUGGGUUCAGAACGUCGUGAGACAGUUCGGUCCCUAUCCUCCGUGGGCGCAGGAGAAUCGAUGGAGGCUGCCCCCAGUACGAGAGGACCGGGGUGGACGCACCUCCGGUGAACCGGUUGUCGACCAACGGCACGGCCGGGUAGCCGCGUGCGGCGCGGAUAACCGCUGAAGGCAUCUAAGCGGGAAGCCGUUCCAGGGAUUAGUUCUCCUUCCGGUAAGGGCCCAGGUAGACUACCUGGUCGAUAGACGGCAGGUGCAAGGCUGGCGACAGCCUCAGCCGAGCCGCACUAAUCGCCCGAGCUCUUCCGGAA